UACGUAGGGUGCGAGCGUUACUCGGAAUUACUGGGCGUAAAGCGUGCGCAGGCGGUUCGUUGUGUCUGUGGUGAAAGCCCCGGGCUUAACCUGGGAAUGGCCAUGGAAACUGGCGAGCUGGAGUGUGGCAGAGGGGGGUGGAAUUCCGCGUGUAGCAGUGAAAUGCGUAGAGAUGCGGAGGAACACCGAUGGCGAAGGCAGCCCCCUGGGUUGACACUGACGCUCAGGCACGAAAGCGUGGGGAGCAAACAGG
rnacentral:rRNA from 1 species